rnacentral:rRNA from 1 species
AUAGAGUCUUCCCCUUCGGGGGACAAAGUGACAGGUGGUGCAUGGUUGUCGUCAGCUCGUGUCGUGAGAUGUUGGGUUAAGUCCCGCAACGAGCGCAACCCUUAAGCUUAGUUGCCAGCAUUAAGUUGGGCACUCUAAGUUGACUGCCGGUGACAAACCGGAGGAAGGUGGGGAUGACGUCAAAUCAUCAUGCCCCUUAUGAUUUGGGCUACACACGUGCUACAAUGGACAAUACAAAGGGCAGCUAAACCGCGAGGUCAUGCAAAUCCCAUAAAGUUGUUCUCAGUUCGGAUUGUAGUCUGCAACUCGACUACAUGAAGCUGGAAUCGCUAGUAAUCGUAGAUCAGCAUGCUACGGUGAAUACGUUCCCGGGUCUUGUACACACCGCCCGUCACACCACGAGAGUCUGUAACACCCGAAGCCGGUGGAGUAACCAUUUAUGGAGCUAGCCGUCGAAGGUGGGACAAAUGAUUGGGGUGAAGUCGUAACAAGGUAGCCGUAUCGGAAGG